GACAGAGGUGCCGAGCGUUAGGCGGAAUCACUGGGCUUAAAGCGUGUGUAGGCGGACCGUUAAGUGUCUUGUGAAAUCCCACGGCUCAACCGUGGAACGGCUGGGCAUACUGGCGGUCUUGAGAGGCCUAGGGGCGAGCGGAACAGGCGGUGGAGCGGUGAAAUGCGUAGAUAUCGCCUGGAACGCCGACGGUGAAAACAGCUCGCUGGGGGCCUUCUGGCGCUGAGACACGAAAGCCAGGGGAGCGAACGGG
rnacentral:rRNA from 1 species